UACGAAGGGGGCUAGCGUUGCUCGGAAUCACUGGGCGUAAAGGGUUCGUAGGCGGUGUGGCAAGUCGGGAGUGAAAUCUCUGGGCUCAACCCAGAGGCUGCUUCCGAAACUGCUGUGCUUGAGUGUGGGAGAGGCGCGUGGAAUUGCAGGUGUAGCGGUGAAAUGCGUAGAUAUCUGCAGGAACAUCCGUGGCGAAAGCGGCGCGCUGGACCACUACUGACGCUGAAGAACGAAAGCUAGGGGAGCAAACAGG
rnacentral:rRNA from 1 species